UGGCAGAGCAGUGUCCGAGAGCGCGGCGCAAGCAGUGGCCCCUGCUAUGUGGGCUGAUGGGAGCACACCGUCCAAGCAGCACUUCCAAGUAUGACAAUGUCCGCUCUACACCAAGGUACGUGGGCACUCGUGCAAAGAUCUAACAUCUUCACCGACUAGGACUAAGUUUAGCUCUCCAUAUGGUGCCCAUUUUUUUACGGGUAAGGCAAGAGCUCUGCCAAUUCAUUAAAGUUGAGGGGAAACUGUAAAGAAGGCAUAAAAAGAAGAAGGAAAAGCGCCACAAAAUAAAUGGAGGUCUAAAUACUGGAUGAGAUUUUCAUUGCUGGCAUUCUUCAUGAACCUAUCAAGGAGAACAUUUCAAUACUAAUUGCUGCAAAGGUGUUCUCACCACCGGCUAGCAAGAAGAGAGUAUGAUUUUUCAGUGCUCACUGUUGUAAGCUUGAUUCACAAGGAGCUUCCCAAUGUUGUACAUGUAGUCUGUGAGUAACAGAAAUAAAACCUAUUUCUUCAUUCUUGUCUUGUACCUCCGUUUCAACUCCCCAAAACCAGUAGAGUUCAGUUACAU